rnacentral:piRNA from 1 species
UGAGACCCAUGUGCAAUUGACCUGUGC